UCAAUAAGCGGAGGAAAAGAAACCAACAGGGAUUGCCUCAGUAACGGCGAGUGAAGCGGCAACAGCUCAAAUUUGAAAUCUGGCCGCCUGUGCGGUCCGAGUUGUAAUUUGAAGAGGAUGCUUUUGGCAAGGUGCCUUCCGAGUGCCCUGGAAUGGGACGCCAUAGAGGGUGAGAGCCCCGUAUGGUCGGUCGCCGAGCCUCUGUAAAGCUCCUUCGACGAGUCGAGUAGUUUGGGAAUGCUGCUCAAAAUGGGAGGUAAACCCCUUCUAAAGCUAAAUAUUGGCCAGAGACCGAUAGCGCACAAGUAG
rnacentral:rRNA from 1 species